AAAACACAUCAAUUUGGCGUGAUCGUUCUUAUAUCGAUUAGCAAGUACAAACUAUAUACGGAGGGAGAAUAAGAAUAAAGUUAUACAGGCAUUUGGAUAUUGUUGCGAUCGAAUUGGCUUCGCGAUCUCAAUCUCAACCUCUCUCUCUCUCUCUCUCUCUGCGCCGAGGCGAAGAAGACGCCGGAGACGAUCAAAUAUUUGUCUGUAAGCAUCAUGCCAAGUACGAGAAAUGCUUCAUAUGCAACAAGUAUACCAAUGGCAUAUUCAACACCGCUUAUGAGAUAAAGAAAAAGAUGGCUGCCAAGGGAGUGUAAAUAAUGUUGCUGAGCGUGGUAUUGGGUUACGGCUUGCUGAGCAUGGUAUUUGGUUACGGCUUGCUGAGCGUGUUACUGGGUUAUGGCUUUGGUAUGUACGUGGAGUACCCCACUCACUGAAUGGUGCAAGUCAACUUUUCACCUGAUCUUCCUUGAUGCGAUUACCUGGAUGAUGAAGUUGCGAGUAUAUGUGCUCGGAUCAUCACAAACAAACCAUUCACAAGGCGAUGAAUGAAGCGAUUGAAGGUCCCUUGCCGCCUCCUGUUUUUCUGUCUCACCUGCAGCGACCACUGCUGUCAUAGUUGAAGCUGCCAAAGAAGCAGCCAUCUCUGAUUUGUAUACUCGAGGUGACGAACUCUCUUCCUCUUGUCCGUGAUCUUCAUCACCAUCUGAUGCCACAUCAUUGCCUUCCUGUUCGGUUUCCGAGCCAAGGGAUGAAAGGUCCUUGGUGUACGAGUGGACAUAUGAUGCAGCUGAAGCAGCAAUCUCAUACGCAACAGUGGGGCGGUUUACACGUUUCUCGUCAGAUAUUCCUGCUUUCUCUGGAUCAGAUACAGUGGGAGCUGAGGCAGUCACAGCAUCAUGCCAAGUACGAGAAAUGCUUCAUAUGCAACAAGUAUACCAAUGGCAUAUUCAACACCGCUUAUGAGAUAAAGAAAAAGAUGGCUGCCAAGGGAGUGUAAAUAAUGUUGCUGAGCGUGGUAUUGGGUUACGGCUUGCUGAGCAUGGUAUUUGGUUACGGCUUGCUGAGCGUGUUACUGGGUUAUGGCUUUGGUAUGUACGUGGAGUACCCCACUCACUGAAUGGUGCAAGUCAACUUUUCACCUGAUCUUCCUUGAUGGUAUUAGAUUCAGAAUUACAUUGAAAUGCAUGUAUACAUCCACAACUGAGCUAGUGUAAUCUGAUUUCCACAAUGAUAAGCAUUUUGUACAAAUUCAGGCAUGCGAGUUGAUUGUCAGAUCUUUUCCUUUUUUCCUUUAUAGAUUUGGAAUUCUUUUU